CUGACUGCUGUAGGAAUUGCCUAAAGUCAGAUUUAAGGAAAAGAAUAAAUCCUGAAUGUUUGAUGCCCAUAAUGUGCUGGAAUUGGAUUGGGAGAGCAGCAGUUCGUAUUUCAAUCUGUGAAGUGAUGUGCUUUGGUGUCAAAUCUAGAUCAAUGCAACACCCUGUUGAGAACUCGAUGCAGAAACAUGAAAAUGGCUUACUCUAGGAAGCAACUGUUUUCAGUGACAAGUUAUUAUUUCUCUCACCCUUGCUAUGGGAGUGCUUUGCUGAUAUGCACCUCAGUCUCCCUGCCUCGCUCAGACAGGCUCUUUAAAACCAUGAG